UUUUCUGUUCCCUCAAUCAGAAAAGCAUCUCUCUCUCUCUCUCUUCUCCCUCUCCCACGCCACAUUUCUUCUUCUUCUUCUUCUUCAUCUCUGCAACCUUCACAAAACAUACCAAAACUCACAAACAUGAAAAACAAAUUACACCAUUGUGAUCAUCUCAGUCCCACGAUCACAACCAUGUCCUUGAAAUCUGGUGUGGACGAGUUUUGACUCACCAACUCGGAAGGUCGACUCAGUGAGUUCGACAUAUCGAUUUUCAGGCCAUGCAUGGCUUAGGGGAAACUUAUUCCGAGGAUUUUCGAGGCCAAGCUAGGCUCGGGGGCUACGACCCAAUGACGUACUUGACCUAGAUAGCUGUACUCUCUGUGGCACUCGAGGAAUCACGGCAGUUCUAACAUUUCCUUCUGUUUAGACGUACAAACUUAUCACUAUUAUGUAAUAAGUGUACUUUGGCUGCUUUGACUACUCUUUCGUAGUCUCACUGUCUAUUACGCUCUGAAUAAUUGUAGUGGGUUCAACCCACGAAUUG
rnacentral:sRNA from 1 species